GACAGAGGGUGCAAAUGUUAUUCGGAAUAAUUGGGCGUAAAGAGUGCGUAGGCGGUGCAUAAAGUCUGUCGUUAAAUUCCCUAGCUUAACUGGGGCUUCGCGAUGGAUACUAACGUGCUAGAGGAUGGAAGAGAAAAGUGGAACUCUUGGAGUAGCGGUAAAAUGCUUAGAUCUCAAGAGGAACACCAAUGGCGAAGGCAGCUUUUUGGUCCAUUCCUGACGCUGAGGCACGAAAGCGUGGGGAGCAAACAGG
rnacentral:rRNA from 1 species